rnacentral:rRNA from 1 species
CUUGGUGAUCAUAGCGUCUGUGACCCACCCGAUCCCAUCUCGAACUCGGCCGUGAAACCAGACUGCGCCAAUGGUACUUCAGCUUAAGCUGCGGAAGAGUAGGUCGUCGCCAGGC